UCCCCAGUGGCGCAAUUGGUUAGCGCACGGUACUUAUAGACAGUUUCUGUGUGAGAGCUAUGCCGGGGUUGUGAGUUCGAGCCUCACCUGGGGAA
rnacentral:tRNA from 1 species